UUCCCUGGUGGUGCCGUUCCAGGUGGCUGAUCUUUCACUUCUUGUCUCAAGAACUGGACUGGGCUUGACAACCUCCCGUUCCCCAGGACCUACAGGAGCUGCAGUUAAUUAAUCUUUUCUUUUUUCAAAGCCUCACAAGAAAGCAAGGUUGGAACAACAGGAUGUCAGUGCGUGUUAUGGAGGAGCAGUUAAGUGCUCGGAUGCUACUAAAAGUCACGGGAAUUUCACAGCAUUAUGUUGGGGAUGUCCAAGAACAGACCAGCAAAGCUGAGUAAGGUCAGAGAAUUGAAGCCUUCAAGGCAACUCUGCAAAGAUACGGAUGACAUUGGACCAAUGAACGAGGUGGUCGGUUUGCAGGUUGUCUUUUCAGAAGACCCAGGAAGAGGUGGCUGCUCCAUGGCAGACAUACACACACGCGUGUCUGAAGACCAACAGAAGACCAGCUGGUGGGAGGCAGGAUCGUAAAGACGACUUUUCCACAAAUCCCGCAGACACAAUA